rnacentral:rRNA from 1 species
GUGUCAGCAGCCGCGGUAAGACGUACCACCCGAACGUUAUUCGGAUUCACUGGGCUUACAGAGUCCGUAGGCGGUCGAGAAAGUUGGAUGUGAAAUACCUCAGCUCAACUGAGGAAUUGCGUUCAAAACUACUUGGCUAGAGAGAUACAGAGGUGAGCGGAACUGAUGGUGGAGCGGUGAAAUGCGUUGAUAUCAUCAGGAACACCGGUGGCGAAAGCGGCUCACUGGGUAUCUUCUGACGCUGAGGGACGAAAGCUAGGGGAGCGAACGGGAUUAGAAACCCUUGUAGUCC